rnacentral:rRNA from 1 species
CACCUGUACAGAUCGAAGGACCUCCUCUCCUGUCUGAGAUUUGUACCCAAGUUAGCAACUGUACUGAAGAACAUCGAACGUUUUGCAGUGCAUCUUACUGUCUUGAACUCACAAGUGAGCACAACCACCUUUUCCUCCUUGUCAUGCUAAUCUAUUUGCACAAUGUUCUAGUAUAUUGUGAAGAAGGCAAAUUUGUUUAUGGGUGGGUUCAGUCAAGGAGGUGCUUGACCUGGGAGUAUUAUAUUAUCAUCAUGUACUAGAAAUUCAGUAUAGGAUAUGAUGAAUUAUUUAGUGCCCCCAUUCUUAUAAGCAAUUCUUAGUUUUGCUUGACCCCUUUGUUUACCCUAUGUAUGUUGCCAGCUAAUCAAUCCGAACCCUUUAACAUGUACCAUAUGUAUGUUGACUACAAACUGAAACAACAUGCGCCAAUUUGUGGUUCACCGCGUGAAUUGCUAAACUGCGGCCGAUCGUGUUUUGCUCAAUGGUCGUCGAUCUUGCUUUGCUCUCUGGAAGUGCAUGUAGAAGAGUUACAUAUAUUGUUUGCCAAAUUGUUACGCGAAACCUGGGAAUAAUAAUAGCUUACCAUGUAGAGUAACAGAGUCAUUUCAUUGUGUUCUGUUUUAUAGUUGAAAAUGGAGUGGUAUACAGGAAGAAUGGCCUAUGUCCUAUACUCACACGCUGCAUCUGAUUGAUCCUAGCUUAUCUGGUUGUGAAACCAACAAAUAUUUUGUUUGGUUUGUCUGACUGAUGAGUGACCAUUGAUUUCUAGUAGGUGCUGAUUUGUGGGAUUGCUUUGACAUUAGAAGUUGGCUUUAUCCGAAGACUUUGUGUUCAAUUGCUUGGUGCCUUUUGAUUCAUCUGUCAUUGAGAAGUUUGCACUCAGAGUAAGAAAGGUAUGUGACGUAGUCAUCCCUGGUCAUUGAGGAAGCUUAAAUUAUGCCAAACUACUGAUCUUGUGGUGUUAUUUUCUCUGCCUAGUAUUGAAAGUGGUCUUAUUUUAGUAUAUGGGAAAACUAAUGCUCUAAAUUAUGUACGUAGAUGUUACAAUAGAAAUGGUAUUAUCUUUGUAUUCACUCCUGAGCUUUCUAGGCUCCUAGCUAUUGGUUCUUUGCAGCCAUAAUAGAGAUGCUAUUAUUAUUGCUUUAUUUAUAAUUAUUAUCGUUGUAUUAAU